rnacentral:rRNA from 1 species
AUGGACGUCGGGUUGUUGGGUGGAACAGUUACCUUCGUGUUAUGGAGCAUCAAUACUACGCCCAACAGAUCCACGGGUUACACGCCUUUUUUCAUGGUUUAUGGAGCGGAGGCGGUUCUCCCUAGUGACAUCCGUCAUGACCCGCCUCGUGUGGCGGCAUAUGUCGAAGCUGACAAUGAGAAGGCACGACAAGAAGCACUUGACCUGUUGGAUGAGGAGCGUGACAUUGCAGCAGCCCGUUCAGUGAUUUAUCAGCAAGAUCUGCGUCGUUAUCACAGCCGCUGGGUUAGAUCCAGAACUUUUCAAGAAGGCGAUCUGGUGCUCCGACUCAUCCAGGAUCAGACGGAUAUGCACAUGUUAUCCCCACCUUUGGAAGGACCUUUUCUGGUCAGCAAGAAUCUGCAUAACGGGUCAUACUACCUUAUAGAUGUUCGAGAGCGCAAAGACUCACGUAAAUCGAAGGAGGAGACCCACCGGCCGUGGAAUAUUGCUCAUCUUCGGCCUUACUAUACUUGA